rnacentral:piRNA from 1 species
AUAGUUGAUGUCACAGGCCCA